AUUGAACGCUGGCGGCAGGCUUAACACAUGCAAGUCGAGCGAGCGGCGGACGGGUGAGUAAUGUCUGUGAAACUGCCUGAUGGAGGGGGAUACCUACUGGAAACGGUAGCUAAUACCGCAUACCAUCAGAUUUGCCCAGAUGGGAUUAGCUAGUAGGUGGGGUAAUGGCUCACCUAGGCGACGAUCCCUAGCUGGUCUGAGAGGAUGACCAGCAAAACGGGAACUGAGACACGGUCCAGACCCCUACGGGAGGCAGAAGUGGGGAAUAUUGCACAAUGGGGGCAAGCCUGAUGCAGCCAUGCCGCGGGUGUGAAGAAGGCCUUCGGGUGGUAAAGCACUUGCAGCGAGGAGGCGUUACUCGCAGAAGAAGCACCGGCUAACUCCGUGCCAGCAGCCGCGGUAAUAC
rnacentral:rRNA from 1 species